GCGAGUAUGGCCCUCACGGGUCUAAUCCACCAUAAACACCUUUGUGAACCAGUCAGGGGGACUCGGCCCGUGAAAGCCCAGGCGAUUAGCGGAAGGGCCCUCCUUUGCAAACCCGUUUAGAAGUCUUGAAAGUACUUUUGUAUAAUCUAGUA
rnacentral:misc_RNA from 1 species